UCCACAGUAGCUCAAUGGAAGAGCAACCGCCUAAUGGGUGAAAACGUAUGUAGGUUCGAGUCCUACCUGUGGGUCCA
rnacentral:tRNA from 1 species